GAACGCUGGCGGCGUGCUUAACACAUGCAAGUCGAGCGGAAAGGCCCUUCGGGGUACUCGAGCGGCGAACGGGUGAGUAACACGUGAGUAACCUGCCCCUGACUCUGGGAUAAGCCUGGGAAACCGGGUCUAAUACCGGAUACGACCAUUUCUCGCAUGUGAUGGUGGUGGAAAGUUUUUUCGGUUGGGGAUGGGCUCGCGGCCUAUCAGCUUGUUGGUGGGGUGAUGGCCUACCAAGGCGACGACGGGUAGCCGGCCUGAGAGGGCGACCGGCCACACUGGGACUGAGACACGGCCCAGACUCCUACGGGAGGCAGCAGUGGGGAAUAUUGCGCAAUGGGCGGAAGCCUGACGCAGCGACGCCGCGUGGGGGAUGACGGCCUUCGGGUUGUAAACCUCUUUCAGCAGGGACGAAGUUGACGUGUACCUGUAGAAGAAGCGCCGGCUAACUACGUGCCAGCAGCCGCGGUAAUACGUAGGGCGCAAGCGUUGUCCGGAAUUAUUGGGCGUAAAGAGCUCGUAGGUGGCUU
rnacentral:rRNA from 1 species